UAUAUACAGGGAGGUGCGGUAUACAGAGGUUUAUAUACAGGGAGGUGCGGUAUACUGAGGUUUAUAUACAGGGGGGUGCGGUAUACAGAGGUUUAUAUACAGGGGGUGCGGUAUACAGAGGUUUAUAUACAGGGGGUGCGGUAUACAGAGGUUUAUAUACAGGGAGGUGCGGUAUACAGAGGUUUAUAUACAGGGAGGUGCGGUAUACAGAGGUUUAUAUACAGGGAGGUGCGGUAUACAGAGGUUUUUAUACAGGGAGGUGCGGUAUACAGAGGUUUCUAUACAGGGGGUGCAGUAUACAGAGGUUUCUAUACGGGGGUGUGGUAUACAGAGGUUUAUAUACAGGGGGUGCGGUAUACAGAGGUUUCUAUACAGGGGGUGCGUUAUACGGAGGUUUAUAUACAGGGGGUGCAGUAUACAGAGGUUUAUAUACAGGGGGUGCGGUAUACAGAGGUUUAUAUACAGGGGGUGCGGUAUACAGAGGUUUCUAUACAGGGGGUGCAGUAUACAGAGGUUUAUAUACAGGGGGUGCGGUAUACAGAGGUUUCUAUACAGGGG